rnacentral:tRNA from 1 species
AGAAAGUUAGCUCAGCUGGAACAGAGCAUCCCGACAUACAGUCGGGAGGGUCGGGGGUUCGAAUCCCUCACCUCCCA